GGAGGAGUGGCAGAGCGGUUUAAUGCGGCGGUCUUGAAAACCGUUGUGCCUUCGGGCACCGUGGGUUCAAAUCCUACCUCCUCCG
rnacentral:tRNA from 1 species